CUGGUUUUUAUUGGGCUGCACAAGAGUCAUCUUCACUUCUCCAUUACUUCAGAUAACCCCAUUGGGUGACCCUGGUGUUGGUUUCCUAAGACGUGGGUCUGGGAUGCGUCCAUUCCAGGAUGGAAGCACUCGCUGAGGUCACAAUCAGUGCUGGGGUGGGAGCGUUUGUGCCACAUCCGGAGAGCAGAGCUGGUGCUCUGGGUUCCUGUCCCAAGGGAGAUUUGUGGAUCAAGGUGGUCUUAGGAAGAGGGAAGCCAGCUCCUUCCAAGGGCUGGGGAAGUUCCUGUGCACAGAGGCCUGGGAACUUCAGCUUCCUCUGAGCCUUCAGCGGCCAUGUCUCAACAAGGAGACGACCGUGGUUCCAAUUGCUGCCGUGUGAGUGGCAAGAAGCGGCGCGGCGCAGUUCCCCGCGGUUGGGAGCAGCAGCCAGCAGGCUGCCAGAGAUCCAACCGCGCCUUGCAGCGCACAGAGGGACGCGACAGGGACGGACCGUCCUUCCUGCCAUGCAAAAGGACAGAGCCUGCGCGUCCAUGGAGUGGUGCUGGGUAUGGGGGGAAACGGAAAGCCUGCGCAGAAGCUGACACGAGCGGCCUUCCAGCAAA
ensembl:lncRNA